GAUGAACGCUAGCUACAGGCUUAACACAUGCAAGUCGAGGGGCAGCAUGAACUUAGCUUGCUAAGUUGAUGGCGACCGGCGCACGGGUGAGUAACACGUAUCCAACCUUCCGUUUACUCAGGGAUAGCCUUUCGAAAGAAAGAUUAAUACCUGAUAGUAUGGUGAGAUUGCAUGAUAGCACCAUUAAAGAUUUAUUGGUAAACGAUGGGGAUGCGUUCCAUUAGGUAGUAGGCGGGGUAACGGCCCACCUAGCCGACGAUGGAUAGGGGUUCUGAGAGGAAGGUCCCCCACAUUGGAACUGAGACACGGUCCAAACUCCUACGGGAGGCAGCAGUGAGGAAUAUUGGUCAAUGGGCGAGAGCCUGAACCAGCCAAGUAGCGUGAAGGAUGAAGGUCCUACGGAUUGUAAACUUCUUUUAUACGGGAAUAAAGUAUCCUACGUGUAGGAUUUUGUAUGUACCUUAUGAAUAAGCAUCGGCUAACUCCGUG
rnacentral:rRNA from 1 species